rnacentral:rRNA from 1 species
AUCUGGUUGAUCCUGCCAGUAGUCAUACGCUCGUCUCAAAGAUUAAGCCAUGCAUGUGUAAGUAUAAAUAAUUUUACUUUGAAACUGCGAAUGGCUCAUUAUAUCAGUUAUAGUUUAUUAGAAAUACUUUACUACUUGGAUAACCGUAGUAAUUCUAGGGCUAAUACAUGAAUGAAUCCUCAACUUCGGAAGAGGUGUGUUUAUUAGUAUGAAAACCAUCUAUCUUCGGAUAUAAUAGUGAGUAAUAAUAACCUUUCAUAUCGUAUGUCGUAAGAUAACGAUAGUUCUUUCAAGUUUCUGCCCUAUCAGCUUUCGAUGGUAGUAUAUGGGACUACCAUGGCAGUAACGGGUAACGAAGAAUUUGGGUUCGAUUUCGGAGAGGGAGCCUGAGAGAUGGCUACCACAUCCAAGGAAGGCAGCAGGCGCGUAAAUUACCCAAUCCUGACAUAGGGAGGUAGUGACAAUAAAUCACAAUGCGGAACUUUUUAGUUUUGCAAUUGGAUUGAGAACAAUGUACAAAUGUUAUCGAUAAACAAUUGGAGGGCAAGUCUGGUGCCAGCAGCCGCGGUAAUUCCAGCUCCAAUAGCGUAUAUUAACGUUGUUGCAGUUAAAAAGCUC